rnacentral:lncRNA from 1 species
GUUUCUGCCUCUCAGAGUCUUAUAACAGAGUCUCUGGGUGUGUGGCAGGAGCACAGUGGACCCAUGGAAAGCAGCAAGAUGGUGACUCCAUCACAGCUUACUGGCCUUCUGCUCCUCUGGGUUCCAGGUGCUGAUGAAAUGCUUUGUUUCCUCCUCUUCUGACCUCCAGAUCUAGGGUAAGGUGCCUCGUGAGCAACUCUGUAGGGAACCAUAGAGGAAAGGGGGCUCAGGAAAAUGUGCUUCCAGAAGUGAUGGUGGUGAUGGGGAGUUGACAGAAGACAGCCUGGGAUG